CUCUUAUAGCCCCACAACCCCCCUAGGCACCGUGUGCUUGGUUUUAGGUUGGGGCGACCGCGGAGUACAAUAAAACCUCCACAAUGAAUGGGAACACCCCCUUAUCUGAGGGCCACACCCCCUAAGAAUUAGAACACUAACAUAAAAUGAUCCAUUACUUGAUCAAUGAACCAAGUUACCCUGGGGAUAACAGCGCAAUCCAUUUCAAGAGCCCCUAUCGACAAAUGGGUUUACGACCUCGAUGUUGGAUCAGGGUACCCCAGUGGUGCAGCAGCUACUAACGGUUCGUUUGUUCAACGAUUAAAACCCU
rnacentral:rRNA from 1 species